rnacentral:rRNA from 1 species
AUUGAACGCUGGCGGAAUGCUUUACACAUGCAAGUCGAACGGUAGAGGGGGCAACCCCUUGAGAGUGGCGAACGGGUGAGUAAUAUAUCGGAACGUGCCCAGUCGUGGGGAUAACGUAGCGAAAGUUACGCUAAUACCGCAUACGAUCUAAGGAUGAAAGCGGGGGAUCGCAAGACCUCGCGCGAUUGGAGCGGCCGAUAUCAGAUUAGGUAGUUGGUGAGGUAAAGGCUCACCAAGCCAACGAUCUGUAGCUGGUCUGAGAGGACGACCAGCCACACUGGAACUGAGACACGGUCCAGACUCCUACGGGAGGCAGCAGUGGGGAAUUUUGGACAAUGGACGCAAGUCUGAUCCAGCCAUUCCGCGUGCAGGAUGAAGGCCCUCGGUUGUAAACUGCUUUUGUACGGAACGAAAGGUUUGUCUUAAUACGAUGAGCUCAUGACGGUACCGUAAGAAUAAGCACCGGCUAACUACGUGCCAGCAGCCGCGGUAAAGUG